CCUACGGGCGGCAGCAGUGAGGAAUAUUGGGCAAUGGACGAGAGUCUGAACCAGCCAAGUAGCGUGAAGGAUGACUGCCCUAUGGUUUGUAAACUUCUUUUAUAUGGGAAUAAAACGUUCCACGUGUGGGAUUUUGUAUGUACCAUAUGAAUAAGGAUCGGCUAACUCCGUGCCAGCAGCCGCGGUAAUACGGAGGAUCCGAGCGUUAUCCGGAUUUAUUGGGUUUAAAGGGAGCGUAGGUGGAUUGUUAAGUCAGUUGUGAAAGUUUGCGGCUCAACCGUAAAAUUGCAGUUGAAACUGGCAGUCUUGAGUACAGUAGAGGUGGGCGGAAUUCGUGGUGUAGCGGUGAAAUGCUUAGAUAUCACGAAGAACUCCGAUUGCGAAGGCAGUUCACUGGACUGCAACUGACACUGAGGCUCGAAAGUGUGGGUAUCAAACAGGAUUAGAUACCCGAGUAGUC
rnacentral:rRNA from 1 species